GGAGGCCAUAGCUCAGUGGUAGAGCAUCUGCUUUGAAGGCAGAAGGCCCCAGGUUCAAUCCCUGGUAUCUUCA